UCAGGUCGUCCGAGUUGUAGUCUAGAGAAUCGUUUUCCGCGUUGGCCUGUGUACAAGUCCCUUGGAACAGGGCGUCAUAGAGGGUGAGAAUCCCGUCCUUGACACAGACUACCAAUGCUUUGUGAUGCGAUCUCGAAGAGUCGAGUUGUUUGGGAAUGCAGCUCAAAAUGGGUGGUAAAUUCCAUCUAAAGCUAAAUAUUGGCGAGAGACCGAUAGCGAACAAGUACCGUGAGGGAAAGAUGAAAAGCACUUUGGAAAGAGAGUUAAACAGUACGUGAAAUUGUUAAAAGGGAAACGAUUGAAGUCAGUCAUGCUUUCCGAGACUCAGCCGAUUCUGUCGGUGUACUUCUCGGUUGGCAGGCCAGCAUCAGUUUCGAUCUGUGGAAAAGGUUGGAGGGAACGUGGCAUCCUCGGAUGUGUUAUAGCCCUUCUUCGAAUACAUAGAGCG
rnacentral:rRNA from 1 species